UACUUAUUGAACACUUUUCACUGUUAUUGCGUCUUUUUCGAGUUUAAAUUAAAAUUCUGUUCGAAGGCGAGUGUCCAAUGCAUGGUGAAGAAACGCACUGAGCACACAACGGUUUCCUUUUGGAUCUAAUUAGAAGCACAAAAGCGGCUUCUGCAACGGCAACAGCAAUGAGGCGAUGCGAUGCGAUGAGCUUGGCUCGCAUCUAAGCGCAUUAAGUAUGCGCCUCGUGCGCCAAUUAAGUUGAGUCAGCUUCGUGUCAGCAUCAACAUUGGCGUCAGCAGCGUUGUCAGCUCCGUUGGUCUGCCGCGUGCCGCUUAGCGUUUGUAAAUCUCUUAAUCGCUGCGGACUUCAGGUGUGCCAGGAGAUUGUUCCAAGGUUUAUUGCAUUGUGCUUCGAUCCUAGAGGAAAAAAAUUAUAAAUAUAAAACAAUUAAAAUAUGCCUCUAAGUAACUCAAUUAUAAACCUAAGCGGGAACAUUAAGUAUUAUUAGAAUACAACAAUUGUGG